ensembl:lncRNA novel transcript (MC1R-TUBB3 readthrough)
GCUUUAUCUGCUGUGCCUUGUUUCUCCCCGGCCCUAGGCGGAAGGUGCUCUACCAGCGUGCACCCAGGAAUAUCCACCGCCAUGUGAUCCUCUCUGAGAUCAAGGAAGCCGUCGCUGCCCUGCCCCCGGCUAAGUCCUAUCAGCCAUGGAAACACCAUUGCUCUCUUCUUCCGGUCACUGUUGCCAAACUAUACCAUGGAGCACAGACGCAGUCUUCAGCAAGGAAGUGCUGGGAACGCCCUGGAGUGAACCCAGGAAGAUGCCUGCAGUGGGUGCCAGGGCCCCUCUCCACCGUCCCUGCUGGGCUUCGGGGCCACGCCCGACUGCUGUGAACGGCCUGCGGAGCACCACGUGCGACGGCUGGAGGCGAGAGGUCUGCCUUUGAUGUGGCUGUUGGUGCAGGGCCUGUGGUGCCUUCCGCAGCGGAAAUGGCGCGCCGCCCGGGGAGGGCGGGAGCAGCGUCCCGGGUGCCCCUGUGAGGAUGAGCGACGAGAUGACUGGAGGGUCCCUGAAGACCUCACUAGGGUGCCCCCAGCCGGUCCGCUCCCAGGAAGCGACA